rnacentral:rRNA from 1 species
GAAUGCUGACAUAAGUAACGAUAAAGCGGGUGAAAAGCCCGCUCGCCGGAAGACCAAGGGUUCCUGUCCAACGUUAAUCGGGGCAGGGUGAGUCGACCCCUAAGGCGAGGCCGAAAGGCGUAGUCGAUGGGAAACGGGUUAAUAUUCCCGUACUUGGUGUUACUGCGAAGGGGGGACGGAGAAGGCUAUGUUGGCCGGGCGACGGUUGUCCCGGUUUAAGCGUGUAGGUGUGUGUUCCAGGUAAAUCCGGUUCACUUUAACACUGAGGCGUGAUGACGAGGCACCACGGUGCUGAAGCAACAAAUGCCCUGCUUCCAGGAAAAGCCUCUAAGCCUCAGGUAACAUCAAAUCGUACCCCAAACCGACACAGGUGGUCAGGUAGAGAAUACCAAGGCGCUUGAGAGAACUCGGGUGAAGGAACUAGGCAAAAUGGUGCCGUAACUUCGGGAGAAGGCACGCUGACACGUAGGUGAAGUGGUUUACCCAUGGAGCUGAAGUCAGUCGAAGAUACCAGCUGGCUGCAACUGUUUAUUAAAAACACAGCACUGUGCAAACACGAAAGUGGACGUAUACGGUGUGACGCCUGCCCGGUGCCGGAAGGUUAAUUGAUGGGGUCAGCGCAAGCGAAGCUCCUGAUCGAAGCCCCGGUAAACGGCGGCCGUAACUAUAACGGUCCUAAGGUAGCGAAAUUCCUUGUCGGGUAAGUUCCGACCUGCACGAAUGGCGUAAUGAUGGCCAGGCUGUCUCCACCCGGGACUCAGUGAAAUUGAACUCGCUGUGAAGAUGCAGUGUACCCGCGGCAAGACGGAAAGACCCCGUGAACCUUUACUAUAGCUUGACACUGAACACUGGUCCUUGAUGUGCAGGAUAGGUGGGAGGCUUUGAAGUGUGGACGCCAGUCUGCAUGGAGCCAUCCUUGAAAUACCACCCUUUAAUGGCUGGUGUUCUAACGUGGGCCCGUGAACCGGGUUGCGGACAGUGUCUGGUGGGUAGUUUGACUGGGGCGGUCUCCUCCUAAAGAGUAACGGAGGAGCACGAAGGUUGGCUAAUCCUGGUCGGACAUCAGGAGGUUAGUGCAAUGGCAUAAGCCAGCUUGACUGCGAGCGUGACGGCGCGAGCAGGUGCGAAAGCAGGUCAUAGUGAUCCGGUGGUUCUGAAUGGAAGGGCCAUCGCUCAACGGAUAAAAGGUACUCCGGGGAUAACAGGCUGAUACCGCCCAAGAGUUCAUAUCGACGGCGGUGUUUGGCACCUCGAUGUCGGCUCAUCACAUCCUGGGGCUGAAGUAGGUCCCAAGGGUAUGGCUGUUCGCCAUUUAAAGUGGUACGCGAGCUGGGUUUAGAACGUCGUGAGACAGUUCGGUCCCUAUCUGCCGUGGGCGCUGGAAGAUUGAGGGGGGCUGCUCCUAGUACGAGAGGACCGGAGUGGACGCAUCACUGGUGUUCGGGUUGUCAUGCCAAUGGCACUGCCCGGUAGCUACAUGCGGAAGAGAUAAGUGCUGAAAGCAUCUAAGCACGAAACUUGCCCCGAGAUGAAUCUUCCCUGAGCCUUUAAGGCUCCUGAAGGAACGUUGAAGACGACGACGUUGAUAGGCCGGGUGUGUAAGCGCAGCGAUGCGUUGAGCUAACCGGUACUAAUGAACCGUGAGGCUUAACCUUACAACGCCGAA